ACCAUAAUAUAGCGCGAUCCGUGUAGUCGCUAGAUGUUCAACAAAAAUUUACUAAAUAGUAAAUAUGAGAGAUACCUAGCUGGACAUCUAGCGACUACACGGAUCGCGCUAUAUUAUGGUCGU
rnacentral:miRNA from 1 species